ACGUAGAGUGUAAAGGCAAAAGAGAGCUUGAUUGCAAGACAUACAGGUCGAGCAAGGAUGAAAAUCGGACUUAGUGAUCCGGUGGUUCUGCGUGGAAGGGCCAUCGCUCAACGGAUAAAAGCUACCCUGGGGAUAACAGGCUUAUCUCCCCCAAGAGUCCACAGCGACGGGGAGGUUUGGCACCUCGAUGUCGGCUCAUCACAUCCUGGGGCUGUAGUAGGUCCCAAGGGUUGGGCUGUUCGCCCAUUAAAGUGGUACGCGAGCUGGGUUCAGAACGUCGUGAGACAGUUC
rnacentral:rRNA from 1 species